GAUGAACGCUGACAGAAUGCUUAACACAUGCAAGUCAACUUGAAUUUGGGUUUUUAACUUAGGUUUGGGUGGCGGACGGGUGAGUAACGCGUAAAGAACUUGCCUCACAGCUAGGGACAACAUUUGGAAACGAAUGCUAAUACCUAAUAUUAUGAUAAUAGGGCAUCCUAUAAUUAUGAAAGCUAUAAGCGCUGUGAGAGAGCUUUGCGUCCCAUUAGCUAGUUGGAGAGAUAACGGCUCACCAAGGCGAUGAUGGGUAGCCGGCCUGAGAGGGUGAUCGGCCACAAGGGGACUGAGACACGGCCCUUACUCCUACGGGAGGCAGCAGUGGGGAAUAUUGGACAAUGGACCGAGAGUCUGAUCCAGCAAUUCUGUGUGCACGAUGAAGUUUUUCGGAAUGUAAAGUGCUUUCAGUUGGGAAGAAACAAAUGACGGUACCAACAGAAGAAGUGACGGCUAAAUACGUG
rnacentral:rRNA from 1 species